rnacentral:rRNA from 1 species
AGUGAACGCUGGCGGCAGGCCUAACACAUGCAAGUCGAGCGGCAGCGCGGGGGCAACCCUGGCGGCGAGCGGCGGACGGGUGAGGAAUUCGUCGGAAUCUGCCUUUUUGUGGGGGAUAACGUAGGGAAACUUACGCUAAUACCGCAUACGUCCUACGGGAGAAAGUGGGGGACCGCAAGGCCUCACGCAGAAAGAUGAGCCGACGACCGAUUAGCUAGUUGGUGGGGUAAAGGCCCACCAAGGCGACGAUCGGUAGCUGGUCUGAGAGGAUGAUCAGCCACACUGGGACUGAGACACGGCCCAGACUCCUACGGGAGGCAGCAGUGGGGAAUAUUGGACAAUGGGCGCAAGCCUGAUCCAGCCAUGCCGCGUGGGUGAAGAAGGCCUUCGGGUUGUAAGCACUUUUGUCCGGAAAGAAAUCCCUGGAGCUAAUACCUUCGGGGGAUGACGGUACCGGAAGAAUAAGCACCGGCUAACUUCGUG